rnacentral:rRNA from 1 species
CUACGGGUGGCAGCAGUGGGGAAUCUUGCGCAAUGGGCGAAAGCCUGACGCAGCAACGCCGCGUGCGGGAAGAAGGCUUUCGGGCUGUAAACCGCUUUCAGUAGGAACGAAACUGACGGUACCUACAGAAGAAGGAGCGGCCAACUAUGUGCCAGCAGCCGCGGUGACACAUAGGCUCCAAGCGUUGUCCGGAUUUAUUGGGCGUAAAGGGCUCGUAGGCGGUUGAGUAAGUCGAGUGUGAAAACUUCGGGCUUAACCCGAAGCGCCACUCGAUACUGCUCUGACUUGAGUUCGGUAGGGGAGUGGGGAAUUCCUUGUGUAGCGGUGAAAUGCGCAGAUAUAAGGAGGAACACCGGUGGCGAAGGCGCCACUCUGGACCGAAACUGACGCUGAGGAGCGAAAGCGUGGGUAGCAAACAGGAUUAGAUACCCCCGUAGUC